ensembl:lncRNA
AGGACCAGGAGCUGCUGUCCUUGCAUGACUCCACCCCUUCCCCCAUUAUCCUCUAUGCACAACUUAAGGUAUAAAAACUACUUUGGAAAAUAAAGUGCGGGCCUUGUUCACCAAAACUUGGUCUCCCCAUGUCGCUCAGUCUUCCAAAUUCUGGCUGAGUCUCCAUCUGGAGCGCAGAACCCGCCAUGCUUGCUAAUUAUGCCUGGGCUUCUAAGAUCUGACCAGGGAGGCCUCAGUGUCUCCUUUCCUUCGGGAGAACGGAAGGACGCCUGCGGCCUACGGUCUGCAUGAUAUUUUCCUUGCCUGCGCUUCUUCCAUUUCAUGACUGUGUCUCAUCGCCUCAGUCGACACACUCCUCUCGUAUCUACAGAACUCCCGGCAAUCCCUUCAGUUCAUGAAGUUGUUCUGCAGCUUUGUAUACCCAUUUGUGUCUAGAACCCCCUUGCUUGUCUGGUGAGCUCCUAUGUAAACAUGACAUCUCAGUUUGAAUAUCUCUUCCAUAGACCAGCUGAUGCCUCGCACCCCAUGCUUCUUGUGGAACACGACAGCAACAUGGCUCUGCCCCUAAGUGGGCAGGUCGGAUUCUGGAAAUGAUCCUGAUGAAUAUUCAUGAAGGAGCUGUGGCAUCAGAA